rnacentral:rRNA from 1 species
GAUGAACGCUAGCGGGAGGCCUAACACAUGCAAGCCGAGCGGUAGAGUUUCUUCGGAAACUUGAGAGCGGCGCACGGGUGCGUAACACGUGUGCAACCUACCUUUAUCUGGGGGAUAGCCUUUCGAAAGGAAGAUUAAUACCCCAUAAUAUAAUGAUUGGCAUCAAUUAUUAUUGAAAACUCCGGUGGAUAGAGAUGGGCACGCGCAAGAUUAGAUAGUUGGGGAGGUAACGGCUCACCAAGUCAAUGAUCUUUAGGGGUCCUGAGAGGGAGAUCCCCCACACUGGUACUGAGACACGGACCAGACUCCUACGGGAGGCAGCAGUGAGGAAUAUUGGACAAUGGGUGAGAGCCUGAUCCAGCCAUCCCGCGUGAAGGAUGACGGCCCUAUGGAUUGUAAACUUCUUUUGUACAGGGAUAAACCUACCCUCGUGAGGGUAGCUGAAGGUACUGUACGAAUAAGCACCGGCUAACUCCGUG